GUGCUAUUGCUCCAGCACAUAUACUAAGAUUGGAACGAUACAGAGAAGAUUAGGAUGGCCCCUGCGCAAGGAUGACACGCAAAUGUAUAUAUAUAUGUAUAUAUGU